rnacentral:rRNA from 1 species
GAUGAACGCUGGCGGCGUGCUUAACACAUGCAAGUCGAACGAUGAAGCCCAGCUUGCUGGGUGGAUUAGUGGCGAACGGGUGAGUAACACGUGAGUAACCUGCCCUUAACUCUGGGAUAAGCCUUGGAAACUGGGUCUAAUACCGGAUAGGAGCGUCCACCGCAUGGUGGGUGUUGGAAAGAUUUAUCGGUUUUGGAUGGACUCGCGGCCUAUCAGCUUGUUGGUGAGGUAAUGGCUCACCAAGGCGACGACGGGUAGCCGGCCUGAGAGGGUGACCGGCCACACUGGGACUGAGACACGGCCCAGACUCCUACGGGAGGCAGCAGUGGGGAAUAUUGCACAAUGGGCGCAAGCCUGAUGCAGCGACGCCGCGUGAGGGAUGACGGCCUUCGGGUUGUAAACCUCUUUCAGUAGGGAAGAAGCGAAAGUGACGGUACCUGCAGAAGAAGCACCGGCUAACUACGUG